AAUAGCGUCGUUUCUCUCAUUUGCAGGACACCUUUCGCAAUCCGAGAGAAUGUCCUGUUUGCAAACAGGAAUUCAAUGGGGAAGAUCGUCGACCACGAAAUCUCCAGUGCUCACAUCAUCUCUGCACCUCUUGCAUUGACACAAUGCUCCGCAGUGGUGCCUCGUUUUGUCCCAUUUGCCGCGAAUAUGUCAGCGGCGUCUCAGCUAAGCAUUUCAAAAUCAACUAUGGCGUGGAGGAUUUCAUGAGGUUCCAGGAUUCGGCAGACAGAGGCAAGGGAUCCCAUCCCAUGUCAAAGAGGAUGGCACGAAUAACAAAGGAAUACAUAGAUGCCACAGAGCAACUGGUGAAGGACUGUGAGGACAGGGAAGGUCAGCUGAAAGACAGACUGAACACGAUAACUCCGUUGGAGGAAGACUUGAACGCUGCCAUCGAGAUUGGAGUGCGAAUUAAGGGCCAAGCUCCAGGUGCUCGUCCACCUAAACAAAAUGGCCAUCCAAGAGCUGGGGAGGGAGAGUAAUAGAAUUCGCAGCCAAAUUUUGGAAUCGGAAAAUAAACGGAAGGAAUUACAGGUUGUGUCUGAAGAACUGGAACAAGCAAAAACUUCAGGAGACGCUGCAAAUUCUCUUGGGAUGGCCGACGUGUGUCAUCAUGAGAUCGAGGAAUGGAUGGUCAAUCAUGAUUUGCCUCCAGAAAAUAAGGAUGCACUGAAAAAUGCAGAAAAGGUCUGCAAAUCAACGAAAGACAAAGUUAACCUGAUUCUCGAAAUCAUAAACUCCGAAGAAAUAAAUGGCAACUUAGUCUUCCGGAGUUCUACAUUCUGCAGAAAGUUAAACUUGCCUGAAGUGAUCACGGGCGACAUCGUGCUGCAGAUGGGAGAGGAUAUAAGACUCUUAGCAGAACAAGAGCUGCUCUUUGCUGUUCAGCGUGGACGAGGUCAGGUUUCCUGCGCCAAGAUUUCUUAUCGGGGGAAUCACCUCUACUUGCAUUGCCUCUUGAACAAACUUCCUCCUCAGAAUGCCCGCACCAUCGGGUAUAAAGAGCUGAUGUCCCAGAAAGAAAAAUCGAUGCUGUCUUUUCUCGAGAUCGGAUCCAAGGAAAAGGUCUUGGGAAGAGUUCACAUUAGGCUUCUACCAGACAAUCCCAGGGCAAAGAACUUCGCUCUGUUGUGCUCAGGGAUGAAGGAAGUUUCCUACAUUAAUUCCAAACUGCUCGAGACCUGGGGCAAGGGUCAAAACAGGGAGCACAUCAGGGGAGGAGAUUACGCGAGGAACACAGGAGAAGGAGGGGCACCUCUGGUCCCUGUCCCUAUGGAAAACGAGAAGAAGAGCGACCCCUGGAGAGCUGGGAGCGUCUGGGGGAAGCGGGCAGAAACCUCGGCUUCGCAGUUCUACAUCAGCACCAGAGACGAUCCAGGCGAGAUGAUCAAGGGGCUCUUCGGGAGGGUGGAGGACGGCCUCCAAGUUGUGAAGGAGGCAAUCCAGUCUUUCGAUGACAUAAGGCAACUUAAGAUAACCGACUGCGGUUUCGUCUUUCAUCCGUCUAGUCAUUCUGAGUCCAUGAAUAUGUUUCGUUGCGUUUCCAGGAUAUUUUUGUUUGAGCAAAACUGGUAUCGUGAGGGCAUACUUUCAGGGAACAAUGGUACUAUUCGUAGAGGGAAAAUGGUUAGUCUCUGACAUGCCAUAAUUUAAAGAAAACUCGAAUGUGUCUUUGGAAAAAAAGAAAAAAAAAAUGCUUGGAUGGGAAUUACCUACAAAGUUCAUUAUAAGACAUUGAAAGUUGGAUGAUAAUGUCAUCUGCCCUAAAUAUACCUUGGAUAUAUCUGGGAACUGAUGACGUCACUCCACAAUACUUAAAGCAGCGAGUUAUUUAAACGACGAAACUAAAAUUGUCUCACCCAGGGUUUCCAACCUUUUUUUGGCCAUGCCCCCUUAAUCACUUCUAAAAUCCUGAUGGCCCCCUGUUAUGAUAUACAGUUCUUAUAUAUUCAUGUGGAGGAAUCCUGAAAGGCCCUCAAAUUGGUUUAAACAGUCUCGAAUUCGCCCCCCCCCCCCAUUUGAAAAUCAAAUUACCCCCUGGUGGGGCGUACACCCCACGUAGGGAACCACUGCUAACCCAUAGGAAGAUGAUUUUUCGCUACCCAGUAAAUUCUUCUCCAGAGACUUAGGGAAGAAUGGCAGAUGCAUGGGGGAGGACCCCAGGUCGAGAGAGGCUUAGGGAAGAUUGCAGAUACAAAAUGGCGACGAGGGGAGGGGGGAAGGGGGAGGACUUCAGGACAUAAAAGCUCCCUAUGCAUAUACACAUAUUAGCUAUGUUAAUGAAUUAUGCUCUCUUUAACUCGAACGUCUAUAUUGUAAGAUUGGUUUACUUUCGCGUUGACUUUUAUGUAUGCAUCUAACCUUCUUUUGUUGGUAUAUUAGGCUCGCUUUCUUAUUAAAUUGAUAUUGUCCAAGUGUGCAAAUCACUCUGUCUCUGUGUGUGCAUAUAGGCAGGUAAAGGUUUCAUGCCGCCAUUGUGGUUCAGGUAGCUCUGAAAAUGAGACAAUUAGUUAAUGCACACAGUUGCACACUGUUGGGUCAGAGGUAACAGAGAUAGUUAAAAAAAAACCGAUGUGCGAAUAUCGAUAUUUAGUCUGUUUCAGAAGGAUUUUCCCUAAAGUCUAAAACGCUGAAAUAAGUUGUAAGAAUAUCAGGUUUUGAGCAUAAUAUUGUAUGUAAUGUACAAAUCGUAUGAGUCAGAUUUGACGUACUUCUCAUAAGCAUGAGUCCUUUUUAACAUAAGUUCAGCCUGAUUUAGAAACGACAGCACCAGUGUGAUCAAAGUUAGUGACUACUUUCUGUAUCUAAUCUAGGAUUGUCAGGAUAUUAUAAAAAUCAUCUGAAGUUUCCUUAUCGCUUUGAUAUUUAAAAAAAACUGUCGUAGAUAAGCGAUUGCAGGAAAAGAACACAAGAUGAUAAGAUCCGGAACAGGUUUGCCACUGAAUGUUUUGGUCCAACUGGAUGUCUGAAUUCAAAUCACUCAUCAUUUGGAAUUUGCAUCCUAUUAUUUGUCUUUAAUCCAAUAAAAUUCUGGUUUUUUGACAUAUAUUUAUAUCACAUAAUUCUGUACCAUUUCAAUCAAAUUAUAGAAUACCUGUUUUUUAUAUGUAUAUAAAACGUAUCACAACUGGACGCUGAAUGUAAAUGUUAUGGGUGAAGGAGUACCUACAAGGUCAAAGUUUAUUACUUUCUUUAUUUCCCUCGCAAAUAUAAUAUGGAUAUAAUCGUUGCAAUUGACAACUAGUAUAAAAAUAUUGGCCUCGCUAUUGUUCGAGGUCUUUGACAAGACUGCCAUUUUGUACUUAGCGUUUCUGUACAUCCGUCAAAAAACUCUCUGCUUGAAUCUUAGAAAGCUCGAGCAACUGCGACAGAUAAACAAACUCAGGGUUUUUUUUUAAUUUGCAAUUUUCAUAUUCCAUCCUUUUGAUUUCAGGGGUAGCUGUAUAAUACAACAUUAUUAAGUAAGAAAAUUAAUUGAUGUAUUUGACCACCAUUUAUUCAGAUGAAGGAAGAAAAAAUAUAAAAGAUUUCCAAUUAGUUCAAUGAGGACAAAUCUUUACUGCUUGUUUUGCACAGUUUAUUGCAGUGAUUUUUAUUAUAAUUCUUUUUAAUAUAACUAUAUACAAAUAAGAUCCGAAUGGGUCUUUUAUUUUUAUCCUCCCCGAGUAGGAGUAGGGGAGACAUGACACAGCCACCCACCCCCUGCAAAUCCUUUUCCCCACCCUAGGUGAGAGCCAGGUAGGUAGUGAAACGGGUGGGUAGGGGAGAUAUCCACCCUCCUCUUGCAAACCUGUUUGUCCGCCUCGGGUGGGGCAGGGUUGGUAGGGGAUCGGGUGGGUAGGGGAGAUAUCCACCCUCCUCCUGCAAACCUGUUUUUCCGCCUCGGGUGGGGCGGGGUAGGUAGGGGAUCGGGCGGGUAGGGGAGAUAUCUACCAUCCUCCUGCAAACCUGUUUGUCCGCCUUGGGUAGGGCUGGGUAGGUAGGGGAUCGGGUGGGUAGGGUAGACAUCAGUGCCGGGGUCCAGCUCGCGUAAUGGCUCGUGCCUUUAUAAUGUUGCCAGAUUAUGUUAAAACUGACAUCAAAAUAUACCUCCAGAAUUAUAAAGGGAAAGGGAAUUAUAAGGGAAUUCCCAAAGUAAGGAACCGAAUGAGAAUAUUCUUUCAUAAUGUUCUCAUUUUAAAAGUACAUAAACAUUCGGUUAUUGACAAAGAAGCAUUUUGCUUCUAAGCUAAACAGGGAGCUCAGAUAUGCGAGAGAGGAGAAUCUUUCUUACGCACCUACUUUGAAGGUAUACUUGGUCCUUCCCUAGGCGGCCGUUGUUGGGGUUAAGGUGCAGAAGGGAGUGUGAGGCCUCUUGUGUUCCCCAGAAUCAUUUUGUAGAGACCAACGUUUCCAACAUCAGAUACAUAUUACUAUCAAUGUCAUUUUUGCAGUGGUUGAUAAAUAAUAUUCUUUUGAUACAAUGCCUGUAAAUUUCUAUUCUAAAUUAUGUAGUGAAUCAGAUACCCAAAGUGAUCUGAGGACAUUUCGUGUCUGCUUGAUGUAACCAUGGCAUCAUUAUUUUGUUUUUUCUGGACAGCAGUUUGAACAUGUUUUUUGGCGUCAUUAAAAGGACUAGAAAAGAAU